rnacentral:misc_RNA from 1 species
GAUGAAGAACGUAGUGAAAUGCGAUAAGUAAUGUGAAUUGCAGAAUUCAGUGAAUCAUCGAGUCUUUGAACGCACAUUGCGCCCCCUGGUAUUCCGGGGGGCAUGCCUGUCCGAGCGUCAUUGCUGCCCUCAAGCACGGCUUGUGUGUUGGGCUCCGCCCCCCUCCCGGGGGGCGGGCCCGAAAGGCAGCGGCGGCACCGCGUCCGGUCCUCGAGCGUAUGGGGCUUUGUCACCCGCUCUGUAGGCCCGGCCGGCGCCCGCCGGCGACCCCAAUCAAUCUUUCCAGGUUGACCUCGGAUCAGGUAGGGAUACCCGCUGAACUUAAGCAUAUCAAUAAGCGGAGGA